rnacentral:tRNA from 1 species
AGGUGCAUGGCUUAGUGGUUAAAGUAUUCAGCUUUCAAUUGCAAGGUUAUGAGUUCAAUUUCUCAAUGGAGCAA